AGGACGAACGCUGGCGGCGUGCUUAACACAUGCAAGUCGAACGGUGAAGGGGAGCUUGCUCCCCGGAUCAGUGGCGAACGGGUGAGUAACACGUGGGCAACCUGCCCCUAGCUCUGGGAUAACUCCGGGAAACCGGGGCUAAUACCGGAUACGACAUCGAGUGACAUCACUUGAUGUGGAAAGUUCUUCGGCUAGGGAUGGGCCCGCGGCCUAUCAGCUUGUUGGUGGGGUAACGCCCACCAAGGCGACGACGGGUA
rnacentral:rRNA from 1 species